rnacentral:rRNA from 1 species
AUGCCGGAGGCGGCGACGCUGGAUCCGGCGGCGAGGAAUGGGGAGGAUGGGGAUGUGGAGGAGGUUGAGGAGUUCCACGAGUCGCUGGAUCGGAUCCUCUCCUCCUCCUGCUCCUCCACCUCCGCCUCCGACGACGACGCCGACCUGCUCCUGCACCGCCACCGCCGCCGCGGGAGCCAGCACCAGCAUACCACCCACCAACAACAGCAAGGGGCGGCGGACCCCGCGUACGACGUCUGGAUCUCCGAGCCCACCUCGGUCUCGGAGCGCCGCCGGGUGCUGCUCAACCGCCUCGGCCUCUCCGCCUCCGGCUCCCUCCAGCCGCCCGCCUCCCCCGGCCGCCGCUCCGUCUCCGUCCCCUCCCCACUCUCCCCGCCGCCCCGCUCCCGCUCCCCCUCUCCGCCGCCGUCCGCCUCGCCUCCACCGGAAGAGUCGGCGGGUCCCGCGGAGGAGGACAGCCUUCCCAGAUCCGUCGGCCACGGGAAGCCGCCGCUGGCCCGGAACCAGAGCAUUGGCGGCUCCGGCGGCGGGGAACAGUGCCGGAUCCGGAACCUGGACGACGGCACGGAGUUCGAGCUCGGGGAGGUGCACGAGGAGGUGGUCCGCGAGGUCGGCACCGGCCGCCAGCUCACCCUCGAGGAGUUCGAGCUCUGCCUCGGCCGCUCCCCGAUCGUCCACGAGCUCAUGCGCCGCGCCACCACCGCCGGCGCCUCCUCCUCGGCCUCCGACCACGCCGGUGCCCCCGCGUCGUCCAAGCCCCGCCGGAAGUCCGGCGGGUGGCUGCGGGGCAUCAGGCACCUGGCCGGCACGGUCGCCUAUGGAGGGCGCCGCGGCAGCACCGAGGUGAGGGACAGGGAGAAGGAGAAGAAGGAGAGGGAGGCGCGCCGCCUCAGCUCCGCCACCGACGACAGCCUCGACGGCAGCAGCACGCGCAGCGCGGGCAGGGUCAAGGUGCGGCAGUAUGGGAAGACGUGCAAGGAGCUCACCGGCAUGUUCAUGACACAGGAGUUGGCCGCGCACUCUGGCUCUGUGUGGUGCAUCAACUUCAGCCUGGAUGGACGGUAUCUUGCGAGCGCCGGCGAGGACCGUGUCAUCCAUGUCUGGGAGGUUUCCGAGGGUGAGAGAAAGGGGGAGUUGCUCGGGGAAGGCGCGGUUUCGAAGGAGAGCGGCGGCGGAGGCAGCCCGUUUGUGGCAGUUGCUGGAAAUGGGUCACCGGAGGUGGCAAUGCUGCCGCUCAACAGUGCCGACAAGGGCUUUGUGGAGAAGAAGAGGAGGCCAAGGGUGCAGAGCAGUCGGAAGUCAGUCGGUUCUGAUCAUCUAGUUGUGCCCGAGUGCGUGUUUGGGUUCAGAGAUAAGCCAUUUUGCUCGCUCCUGGGACAUGCCGCUGAUGUUCUUGAUCUAUCAUGGUCCAAAUCCCAGUACUUGCUUUCGUCCUCAAUGGACAAAACUGUUAGGCUAUGGGACAUCACAUCCAGUACCUGUUUGAAGACAUUCUCACACACGGACUAUGUGACUUGCAUCCAAUUCAAUCCGGUAGACGAUAACUUCUUCAUUAGUGGGUCACUGGAUGAGAAAGUUCGCAUUUGGAAUGUCCAUGAUCGCAAGAUUGAAGAUUGGAAUGAUCUACAUGAGAUGGUUACCGCUGCAUGUUAUUCCCCCGAUGGACAGGUUGCAAUGGUGGGAUCUCACAAGGGAAGCUGCCAUUUAUUUGAUACAACUGAAAAGAAGCUUCUGUACAAAAGCCAAAUAGACCUAAGAAUCAGGAAAAAGAAGUCUGGCCAGAAGAAGAUUACUGGUUUCCAGUUUGCUCCAGGAAGCUCCUUGGAAGUCCUGAUUACUUCUGCAGAUUCAAGAAUUCGUGUUGUUAAUGGCGACGAGCUUGUUCACAAAUUUAAAGGGUUCCGCAAUACUAGUAGCCAAAUCUCAGCUUCUGUAGCUCCAAAUGGAAAAUAUGUAGUCUGUGCCAGUGAGGACUCUCAUGUGUACGUCUGGAGACAUGACAACAGUUCCCAUCCUAGCAGAAGCAGGAGCGCAGUUGAUGUAACCAACUCGUAUGAACAUUUCCACUGCCGUGCUGUAACUGUGGCAAUCACAUGGCCCGGUGCUGAAGCCCGUGGAUCGAUGGGGUGUCGUAGCAGCAGACACAGUGAUUCGGAUGGUGCAGUGAACUCUGUCCCUGAAACUCCUAUACAAAACAAGGAGCAUGGAUCGAAUGGAACUGCUCACAGUCAGAGAUACAUCGAGAGCCCAGUUUGUGAAGGUGGCGCGAGCACAAGCACCAGCAAUCAUCCAGUCGAAGCAGCGUCCCCAUCCUUGCCUGACGAGCAAUUACCAUCUGCCAAGAGCAGUCCUGGCCACAGUUCAUCGGAUCUUUGCAUCGGAGCUAUGGAUGUCCAGCGCCGGUCAGCGUGGGGUUUGGUGAUCGUCACGGCGGGACAGGGAGGAGAAAUCAGAGUGUUUCAGAAUUUUGGUUUCCCGGUUCAAGUGUAA